rnacentral:lncRNA from 1 species
UUGAAACUUAGUACACAUGUUCCUUAUGAUAUGAUCUUUCUAAUUUUAAUGCCAAAUUAGCGUUUUUUUCCCAAUUUCAUGGUCCACUGAACAUAGAAAAUGAUAGUGCAAGUGGAGCAUCUGUGUACUCUGGACACAUUUUUAUUUGUAUUGCUUGGAGAUCUCCAGUUGAAUUUUUAUGCAUCAGUGUAUAAGGAUGACAUAAAGAGUGAGUUUUGUUACGGUUGAAUGACUUUUGAUCUUACUGCAUGGAAGGUUAUUUUUGUCAUACCAAUAUGUCUAGUUAAUAUUUAAUCUCAGUGAAGUUUAGUCUGAUAUAUUGUAUAUUGAUUGUGUUUAAAAGAUAAAUAUAUAAGAUUUCUGUAACAAUCAUAUUAAUAAAAUUUGAA